AUUCUUACUCAUUGACUUUAAUGAAUUAACAACAUCAAAUUCUCAAAUGAUUUGUUUAGUUUUCAGCAGCUGCCACAUCUAUUCUUUCAAAGCUUGUGUUAUAAAAGUUUGAGUUUGAUAAUUACUAGGAUUCGAAGAGAAUCCCAGCCUCAAAGAAGAUGAUCAGUUGCAGCAAUUUCUCCAGUAUUUUGCUAUUUGCAUGNUAAACUGAAGAAAACCCUUCUUCAGCACCCACACACCUCGCGUAGGAUUUCCCUGCUAAGCACACCUCGUGCUCAGACUUUUCACUCAGAGUUCAGAGUACCUUCCUGAACUCCGAACCACUCAAACACUCUUAUGGGGAAGAAGUUUAAACGAGUGCCAACUAUACUUACAAAGAACAAGUUCUUUGAAGCAAGUUUGACCUUUGGCUUCUGGGUAAACAGAUAUAUGCCUAGGGUGGGUCUAAGAGAAUGUAUGUAAUCAGCAGUGACUGAUUUUGGCUUUGGAAUUCUCUUCUUCGAUUCAAGCUUUGGGCGGUUAAGCUUUAGGCUGAGUAGCAAUUUUGGCAGAGCUUCAGCUUAUGUCGUUGAAUCGGUGAAGAUUGAAGUGAUCCUCGAGCGCUAUUUGUAGGAGAACUCUUGAAUAGAUCCGUUGGCGUAAAUCGUCCUCAAGAUUUCUUCCGUUGGAGAGCAAUUCGAAUUUGGGCUGAGGCUUCAAUCUUCGAGGUUCCUUGUCUGUGCGGAAACGGCUCUCUUUGAUGGACAGGAGAUGUGACAUCUCUGAAAAGUAACCACCAGAUAGGAAUGACCUCUGCAGAGAUAAGAUAUUCUGAGAUCUCUGCAUUUAAUGCGGCUGUACUUGUGCGUACGUGGAUUCCUCUGAACGUUGGAAGAUCAGUCCUAGGAGGAAUGUUCAACUGAUACUUGACUUUAGUAUCAGUCCUUUGCGCGCAUUAAAUAAUCAGUCUUCAACUGAUUCUUCAACUGAUACUUCAGUUGGUAACUGCAGUCUUCAGUCUUCAGUCUUCGUUCUUCAGUCUUCAGUCUUCGGUCUUCGACACCGCAACUAAACUAGAAACGAACUCUAACACUUGAGUUCAAAACGAUUCUAGUCUAUUACAUAUAAGUCCUAUGAAUUUUGGUAUCAUCAAAACAAGGGUUAGGAUAUUCCACAAGGUUCCCAACAUGGUCACAAUUGGUUGUGAACACCAACCUUCUGGCCUCAUUGUCCUGUGUAUACCUUUUGAAGUUGUGCAGAAAAUUAUUUCCAAAUAAUAUAUCUGCUCCAGUAUCAUGGAAAUAUAUUGGUGGCGUCUUGACCUUGUACCAAGGUGUCUGUCCUGCUCCGCCGAUCAAUAUUUCCGUCUGUUUUACUCCCUUUGAUAGGAGUAAAAUCUUUUUGGAGAAAUCCCUUCCCGCAAUUCGAGGCAGUUCUUCUUCAACUUCUGCUGGAAAGAUCCUCGUUUUGCGUACAGAUUCCUGCUCCUGAAUCACAUAAGCAGCAAAAUAUUCUGCUUUGAACUUCUCAUAUAACAUCCCAAUAGAGAUGUAUAUCGAGAAUGGACUUGUCAUCAGAUCAGCAACUUCUGUCUGCCGAUCGUAAUCUCCAUUCCACUUGCUUUCCACGACCAUGGUUGAUAUUUGUCGAGGAAAUUGCGUCCUAAGAUCAGAACGUCAGUUUCUUGUCCGGCUUGGCCUUCGACUUGGAUUUCAAAGCCUCCGACCUCCAGAAUUCCGAUAUAUCGGUUGCUUUCUGGAUUUGCCAAAUAAUACAACAUGUUCAAGGAAACUUAUUUUCCUUUUCAGUUGUAUUAAAUCUUGUGGAAACCCUUUCCAUCCUUCGGGACAUUUGAGCUUAAUCCUCAUGUCUGGAACUGGUGUUUCCUGAAUCGCCCUUCUCUCAUAAGAUAGAGAGAAACUUCUUGUUAUAGGCCCUGAAGUUAGCCUAUUUCCUGGAAUGAUACCUUGGUGCUCCCAAUCUGAGACUCUGGUCAUGGCUUAGCACCUGCUUGUCUCCUACGUCGAUGUCGAUUUCCCUGAUCUGGGGAAUCUCCACUCGGUUUGGAUUGACUGCCUUGGCUACCUCCUUGAAUAUUUCUGGAAUUUCAAUAAAUUCUUUUCCCAGAAAUAAUUCUGUGUGGUGGGAAUUCGAUAAGGCAUACGAUACUUGAUAAGUAAGCGAGUAUGGCCUAUUUCCUCCCGUCAUGAGAUCCUUCCUCUUGUAGUCCUGAUAAUGUCAGGGCUCGGCUGAAGAUGAAUCCUGUAGAUUAUAAGCGAUUUGUGGGUACAUCUCGGUUAUAAUCUUUUUGGCAUAGAGAUUGCCUGAAAAAGCUCCAAGAACUGCUUCUUUGGCAUCCCUAAUUCUCUUGUCGCAGAGUGCAACAUCAAUCGGUUGAUCUGUCCCGGGGAAGAGGGCAGAUUUGAUUACCAACUGAAUUGCUCCAAUAUGAAUCCAUUUCAUCGUACUAGCGACUUCUGGCUUCAUUCUUUUGAGAUCCCGCCUAUAUCUUCGGCUGGAACAAGUUGGAUCUCCACCUGGUUACUUGUAAUCUCGAUUGGAAGCGCCAUUUCUCGGCUGGUAACGCCGAAAUAAACAUGAUGCCUCCUUUUGAAUGGACUCAAGCUGUGAAAAACUUGAUUCAGUCUUCCACUAGAAAACCCUUGGUAUGUUUGUACUUCCUCGGUUUCCUUCUUGAGUUUUUUCACGAGCUUCUUCACCACCUCUUCUUGUGGGAUCAGAAAAUGACUGGUAAAUCCAUUCUGAUCCUCCUUCUGAGUGUGGAAAACCUCGUUCUCUUCUUUAGUCUGACUCGUUCCCGGUUGAUCCAUUGGUCCAAUCUGAACCUGAAUCUUCAGAACUAAAGACUUCUUCUUGUUCGUAUAUACUCUCAUCAGAGGAUAUAUCUUCAAAUUGAUACACGGGUAUCAAUUUCUGGUAGUAGAGGGCAUCUUCGAUAUCCUGUGUGGAUUCAAAUUUCUUUAUCCCUCUUCUCUCGUUGUCUGGGCAAUUGGUAGAGAUAUGCCCUUUUGCACCGCAUGUCCAGCAGUUGCAAUCUUUGAAACUUUCAUUUGCUUUGGCUUGAGUACGCCUGAAAGUUUUCCUCGCCGGGAUUCUCUUUUGAGAUGAGAAUCGGUUCCUGGAUGGUCCGCUCCGUUGGCCUGAUUUGUAGGAGCGUGCCUUCUGUCUGGUCCACAUAGUUCUUGGCUUCCAAGAACUUCUCCUUGACUUUUUCUCAUAGGGUUGGUACCUAUGUUUCUUUCUGCUCUUCCGUUGAUACAGCAACUCAGCACCAAUCUCUGUUGGAAGAUCAAUGUUGUCGCACAUCAAUGGAGAUUUCUUGUUGAGUUUCCUCAAUCUUUUGAGAUUCCUCUGGUCCGCCGCCUUCUGGCACCAUUCGGACAGCUUCCUGUGAACAUAGGACAUCCUUCUUGACGCACUGUCAAGUGGAUAAUCUCCUGGUGACACGUACUCGUUGAUGAGCAUCUCCCUCCAUGGACUCGGAAACUUUGUGAAAAAGAGGUCCUUGGCGAUCUGAUCAUCAACAACCCCCAUAUGGGCAUAUAGGGUGUAUAGGCGCAAAAAUUCAUCAAGAGCUUUUGGCUCUAGCACCACCAAUCUUAGAUUGUAAAGUGCCUGUAGAUAUUUCUUGCGCUUCUCCUCUGCAGAUCCUUCGAAAAAACCCAUUCCAAGAAAAUGGAUUUUAAUUUGUUUAGUAGCCAACUCGAGGAUUUGAGAAAUUGACGUGUGGCUAAACAAAUCAUUUUUUCCCUGGGCAUCGGCUCUAUCCCAGAACUGUUUUACCAUGCCAGCAAAACUUGCUUCGAAGAUCUUGACAAAUUCUUCUUUGUCAUAAUCUAUCGUGGCAAUCACGAUCUUUAAUGAUGAAGCCCAUUCGUCGAUGAGACUCUCCCAAUCUUUGAAACUGGCUUCAUCGAGGUUGAGAAUCAAUCCGUAUGGAUGGAUUGGUUCUAAUGUGGCCUUUCCUACAGGAGUAUCCCGCAUCUGAGGCCGUCGUCGUCUGGUUCGUUGAAACUGCUCCAUUUCUUGAGCCACACCUUUCUUUGACGACUCUCCUUCUUGAUGCUCAGUUUUGGGCACCCCUUCUUCUUGGUUCAUCUUUAGAUCAACCAUAUUGAGGUUAGCAAAAGAUUCUGCUAACUCCUGUAAAUCUUCUAAUCCGAUUCGAUCAAGGUUAUUCAAUUGCCUUUCAUGAUUCGGAUUAUGUCCUCCGGUUGCAACUCCUUGGGUGCUGCAUCGAGUGGUAGUGGAUACGUCGGGUCUUUGGACCAUUUAUUCCGAAUUUUUCCGGAACAUGGUUUUCGCCUUUCGAUGUCCUCCACUCUUUUCUGGAUAUCACGCAAGAGGGUUAGUAUUUCCUCUUGUUUGAGUGAUAUUCUGCUUAUCUCCAUCGGUAGUUCAUACAGCUUGACGCCAUAAUAUUCCACCGUUCUUUGAAUCUCCCGCAAGUUGACGUUGUCGGAAGAAUUCGGCUCGAUCUUGUGGUAGCUUGGAUAAGCUACUCCCGCUUUGUCCUUCGGUUCCAUCAAGUAUGAUAUUGAUGGAGGUAGGCUCUGGCUUGUCUGUUUGCCGAUUUGGCCACGGCAUUCUCCAAUAGGGCAUCAAGAUGCUCCUGGAUGUUCGUAAUGAUUUCACGAACAGUCUCCUCGUCCUCGGUAAUGUUGAGCAUAAGUGCUCGCCAAUACCAUCGUAAUUCACCCAUUAGGUGACUAGCCUCUCUUUCCAAAAUUUGGAAAGAUAUCCUGUAUACAAGACAUCUCGGACAUUCGUCCGGAUCCAUUCCAAUUCUUAUGGAGUCUCCUCCCACAUAGGUUAAUCCCAAAGGUAAAUCAUAAAAUAAAUUAAAUAUAAUAUAAUUCCUCAAUUAAAACCCGCUCUGAUACCAUUUUAGGCGAGCGCGGGGAUGCAAUGAAUUUUAUACAAAUUAUAGAAAAUUUUCAGAGUAAAAACAAGUGAUGUAAUGUGCCUUUUAGCAAAGUAAGGGGUUAAUUAUGUAAAUAAAGACUUUUGAAAGGGUCAAAAUCAAAAUCUUGAAUUGGGAAAAUAUGGUGUCCAGGUGUCAUCAUCAUAGCAUUGGAGCGUAAAAAAACUCAGCGUAGCAUAGACUUACGAGGAAUGGGGACCGCCAAUAUUGGGUUGAAAUAAGCAUUUAAAGAAAUGGGGCCUGCGCCAAAGAAAAAGGACCCACUGUGACAGACAAAAAUUGGUUCCCUUCGGAACCGUCUCGAUAUUUUUUAAAAAAAAACAAGAUGACAAUUUCAAAUUGAGUAUCUCAAUAUAGAUGCUUACAACGUUCCAUUCGACACAAUUACUCCAAUAUCAAGGACUUUUGAGUCAAUAACUCAGAAAAAUCAAGCCCAAGCUACAUGAUACUUUAUCGAGUCACAUGUAAUUUCUCUUGAUAGUGAAUUUAUUUAUGACAUAAAUUAAAUUUGACUUUGCAUUAUUGCAGUCCAUUACUGGUUCAAAUUCUUACUGAUUGACUUUAAUGAAUUAACAACAUCAAAUUCUCAAAUGAUUUGUUUAGAUGUGAUUAAUAUAGUUUUCAGCAGCAGCCACAUCUUAUUACAUUCUUUCAAAGCUUGUGUUAUAAAAGUUUGAGUUUGAUGAUUACUAGGAUUCGAAGAAGAAUCCCAGCCUCAAAGAAGAUGAUCAGUUGCAGCAAUUUCUCCAGAUUUUGCAUUUGCAUGCAAGUGCUUCAUUUCCAUCUUCUCAUUCUUGAUGAUCUCUUCUUGAGUGUGCUUGUCAUCUUCUAUGGAUAAGACGACGAGCUCCGGCCCGUUGGGGCCUUGAAUGAUGGCCUCUUUCACCUUCAGAUGUUCAUCAGUACGUAUGAUAUCGGUUUCGUUCACCAUCUUCUUAUGUUUCCUAUUCUUGAUCAAGCACCAAAGAGCAAAGCAGCAGAAGGCGGCGAAGAAGAAGCAUCCGAACGAGACGAAGAUCACUAUGACCACAGUAGGAGCAUUGUCCGGAGGCGGUGGUGGAUGAACAUGAGGGGGUGGCGCAAUGGGGUGGAACGGAGGUGGUGGAGGAACGACAUGAGGCCGUGGCGGAUGAGGAAUGACGUGAGGUGGUGGUGGAGGAACGACAUGAGGCUGUGGAGGAUGUGGAAUGACGUGAGGAGGUGGUGGAGGAACGACAUGAGGUUGUGGCGGAUGAGGAACGACGUGAGGAGGUGGUGGAGGAACUCCGUGAGGCAGUGGCGGAGGAGCGAUGGGGUGAACAAAGGGUAGAGAGGGAGAGGGAAAAUAUUGGUAGGCAGCCAUUUGGAAAGCUAAGGGAGAAAAUCAAAUUCUUUGUGAAUGGU
rnacentral:lncRNA from 1 species